rnacentral:rRNA from 1 species
GAUGAACGCUGGCGGCGUGCUUAACACAUGCAAGUCGAACGAUGAAAGCGGGAGCUUGCUCCUGCUGGAUUAGUGGCGAACGGGUGAGUAACACGUGAGUAACCCGCCCUUGACUCUGGGAUAAGCGUUGGAAACGACGUCUAAUACCGGAUACGACCUUCGGAGGCAUCUCCUGGGGGUGGAAAGAAUUUCGGUCAAGGAUGGACUCGCGGCCUAUCAGCUAGUUGGUGAGGUAAUGGCUCACCAAGGCGACGACGGGUAGCCGGCCUGGGAGGGUGACCGGCCACACUGGGACUGAGACACGGCCCAGACUCCGACGGGAGGCAGCAGUGGGGAAUAUUGCACAAUGGGCGAAAGCCUGAUGCAGCAACGCCGCGUGAGGGACGACGGCCUUCGGGUUGUAAACCUCUUUUAGUAGGGAAGAAGCGAAAGUGACGGUACCUGCAGAAAAAGCACCGGCUAACUACGUGCCAGCCGCCGCCGUAAUAC